AGUGAACGCUGGCGGUAGGCCUAACACAUGCAAGUCGAACGGCAGCACAGUAAGAGCUUGCUCUUACGGGUGGCGAGUGGCGGACGGGUGAGGAAUACAUCGGAAUCUACUUUUUCGUGGGGGAUAACGUAGGGAAACUUACGCUAAUACCGCAUACGACCUACGGGUGAAAGCAGGGGAUCUUCGGACCUUGCGCGAUUGAAUGAGCCGAUGUCGGAUUAGCUAGUUGGCGGGGUAAAGGCCCACCAAGGCGACGAUCCGUAGCUGGUCUGAGAGGAGGAUCAGCCACACUGGAACUGGGACACGGUCCAGACUCCUACGGGAGGCAGCAGUGGGGAAUAUUGGACAAUGGGCGCAAGCCUGAUCCAGCCAUACCGCGUGGGUGAAGAAGGCCUUCGGGUUGUAAAGCCCUUUUGUUGGGAAAGAAAAGCAGCAGGUUAAUACCCCGCUGUUCUGACGGUACCCAAAGAAUAAGCACCGGCUAACUUCGUG
rnacentral:rRNA from 1 species